GAGUUUGAUCAUGGCUCAGGAUGAACGCCGGCGGUGUGCCUAAUACAUGCAAGUCGUACGCACUGGCCCAACUGAUUGAUGGUGCUUGCACCUGAUCGACGAUGGAUCACCAGUGAGUGGCGGACGGGUGAGUAACACGUAGGUAACCUGCCCUGUACAGGGGAUAACAAUCAGAAAUGACUGCUAAUACCGCAUAAGACCACAGCACCGCAUGGUGCAGGGGGUAAAAACUCCGGUGGUACAGGAUGGACCCGCGUCUGAUUAGCUGGUUGGUGAGGUAACGGCUCACCAAGGCGACGAUCAGUAGCCGGCUUGAGAGAGUGAACGGCCACAUUGGGACUGAGACACGGCCCAAACUCCUACGGGAGGCAGCAGUGGGGAAUAUUGCACAAUGGGGGAAACCCUGAUGCAGCAACGCCGCGUGAGUGAAGAAGUAUUUCGGUAUGUAAAGCUCUAUCAGCAGGG
rnacentral:rRNA from 1 species